rnacentral:rRNA from 1 species
GGUUGCGGCCAUAUCUAGCAGAAAGCACCGUUUCCCGUCCGAUCAACUGUAGUUAAGCUGCUAAGAGCGGGACCGAGUAGUGUAGUGGGAGACCAUACGCGAAACUCUCGUGCUGCAAUCUCUUUUUUUUUAUUUA